UACGGAGGGUGCAAGCGUUGUCCGGAUUUAUUGGGUUUAAAGGGUGCGUAGGCGGCUUUUUAAGUCAGUGGUGAAAGACAACAGCUCAACUGUUGCAGUGCCAUUGAUACUGAAGAGCUUGAGUACAGAUGAGGUCGGCGGAAUUUAUGGUGUAGCGGUGAAAUGCAUAGAUACCAUAAAGAACACCUAUUGCGAAGGCAGCUUACUAAGCUGUAACUGACGCUGAGGCACGAAAGUGUGGGGAUCAAACAGG
rnacentral:rRNA from 1 species